rnacentral:rRNA from 1 species
CGUAGGGUGCGAGCGUUGUCCGGAAUUAUUGGGCGUAAAGAGCUCGUAGGCGGUGUGUCGCGUCGGUCGUGAAAACUUUCAGCUUAACUGGGAGCUUGCGGUCGAUACGGGCAUCACUGGAGUUCGGCAGGGGAGACUGGAAUUCCUGGUGUAGCGGUGAAAUGCGCAGAUAUCAGGAGGAACACCGGUGGCGAAGGCGGGUCUCUGGGCCGAUACUGACGCUGAGGAGCGAAAGCGUGGGGAGCGAACAGGAUUAGAUACCCUGGUAGUCCACGCCGUAAACGGUGGGCGCUAGGUGUGGGGGCCAUUCCACGGUCUCUGUGCCGCAGCUAACGCAUUAAGCGCCCCGCCUGGGGAGUACGGCCGCAAGGCUA